rnacentral:sRNA from 1 species
UUUAUAGAAACUUCUACUUAGAACGCACACGUCCUGUGUUGGGCGUAGAAGUCACCACAUCCUGUGGA